rfam:Homo sapiens chromosome 2 genomic contig, GRCh38 reference assembly alternate locus group ALT_REF_LOCI_1.
GCCAGGUGUGGUGGUGGGCACCUGUAGUCCCAGCUACUCAGGAGGCUGAGACAGGAGGAUCGCUUGAGCCCAGGAGAUUGAGGUUACAGUGAGCCGUGAUCAUGCCACUUCACUCCAGCCUGGGCGACAGAGUGAGACCCUGUCUCCA